UCUAAGGAUGAAAGUGGGGGAUCGCAAGACCUCAUGCUCGUGGAGCGGCCGAUAUCUGAUUAGCUAGUUGGUAGGGUAAAAGCCUACCAAGGCAUCGAUCAGUAGCUGGUCUGAGAGGACGACCAGCCACACUGGAACUGAGACACGGUCCAGACUCCUACGGGAGGCAGCAGUGGGGAAUUUUGGACAAUGGGCGAAAGCCUGAUCCAGCAAUGCCGCGUGAGUGAAGAAGGCCUUCGGGUUGUAAAGCUCUUUUGUCAGGGAAGAAACGGUGAGAGCUAAUAUCUUUUGCUAAUGACGGUACCUGAAGAAUAAGCACCGGCUAACUACGUGCCAGCAGCCGCGGUAAUACGUAGGGUGCAAGCGUUAAUCGGAAUUACUGGGCGUAAAGCGUGCGCAGGCGGUUUUGUAAGUCUGAUGUGAAAUCCCCGGGCUCAACCUGGGAAUUGCAUUGGAGACUGCAAGGCUAGAAUCUGGCAGAGGGGGGUAGAAUUCCACGUGUAGCAGUGAAAUGCGUAGAUAUGUGGAGGAACACCGAUGGCGAAGGCAGCCCCCUGGGUCAAGAUUGACGCUCAUGCACGAAAGCGUGGGGAGCAAACAGGAUUAGAUACCCUGGUAGUCCACGCCCUAAACGAUGUCUACUAGUUGUCGGGUCUUAAUUGACU
rnacentral:rRNA from 1 species